rnacentral:RNase_P_RNA from 1 species
GAAGCACGCCAGGCCGCCGCUGGUGCAAGUGCCGAAAGGCCGCACUGGAGGAACGUCCGGACUGCACAGGACAGCGCAGGAGCUAACGGCUCUCCACCGCGAGGUGAGGAUCAGAGCAACAGAGACGAGUCCCGGCCUUCGCGGCGACGCGCAGGCGGCGCCGCAAAGCCCUUCGAAAGAAGGGCCGAGGCCGGGGGUGAAACGGGCAAUCUCUGCGCGCAGCAACACCAAGUAGGCCAGUAUUGAGGUGGUUCCGCUGAGCUGGCGGGUAGGUGGCACCGAGCCGUGUGGGCGACCCACGGCCCAGAUGAAUGGCGGUCACGCGGCGGCAUCCGCAAAGGUGCCGCCGUGCACAGAAUCCGGCGUAUCGGCGCGCUUCACAC